UACAGAGGUCCCCGAGCGUUGUUCGGAUUCAUUGGGCGUAAAGGGUGCGUAGGCGGCGGGGCAAGUCUGAUGUGAAAUCCCGGGGCUCAACCCCGGAACUGCAUUGGAUACUGCCUUGCUAGAGUACUGGAGAGGGAACUGGAAUUUACGGUGUAGCAGUGAAAUGCGUAGAGAUCGUAAGGAAGGCCAGUGGCGAAGGCGAGUUCCUGGACAGUUACUGACGCUGAGGCACGAAGGCCAGGGGAGCAAACGGG
rnacentral:rRNA from 1 species